UUGCUGAGGUAAGUAGAGGUCUCUUUUAUUAUGGUCUUCACUCUAUCAUUAUUAAACC
rfam:Gorilla gorilla gorilla genomic chromosome, chr1, whole genome shotgun sequence